rnacentral:rRNA from 1 species
AGGACGAACGCUGGCGGCGCGCUUAACACAUGCAAGUCGAACGAGAACCGAGGAGCUUGCUCCUCGGGGAGAGUGGCGAACGGGUGAGUAACACGUGAGCAACCUGCCCCGAAGACCGGGAUAACAGUGGGAAACCGCUGCUAAUACCGGAUAUCCUCCCCGCCCGGCAUCGGGUGGUGAGGAAAUGGAUUCCGCUUCGGGAGGGGCUCGCGGCCUAUCAGCUUGUUGGUGGGGUAACGGCCUACCAAGGCAGCGACGGGUAGCUGGUCUGAGAGGAUGUCCAGCCACACUGGGACUGAGACACGGCCCAGACUCCUACGGGAGGCAGCAGUGGGGAAUCUUGCACAAUGGGCGAAAGCCUGAUGCAGCGACGCCGCGUGCGGGAUGAAGGCCUUCGGGUUGUAAACCGCUUUCAGCAGGGACGAAAUUGACGGUACCUGCAGAAGAAGCCCCGGCCAACUACGUGCCAGCAGCCGC